CCUACGGGCGGCAGCAGUGAGGAAUAUUGGUCAAUGGGCGUAAGCCUGAACCAGCCAAGUCGCGUGAGGGAUGAAGGUUCUCUGGAUCGUAAACCUCUUUUGUAGGGGAGUACAGUGCGUGACCUAUCCCGUUUUGUAUGUACCUUAUGAGUAAAGAUCGGCUCACUCCGUGCCAGCAGCCGCGGUAAUACGGAGGAUCCGAGCGUUAUCCGGAUUUAUUGGGUUUAAAGGGUGCGUAGGCGGUCCUUUAAGUCAGCGGUGAAAGUCUGUGGCUCAACCAUAGAAUUGCCGUUGAAACUGGGAGGCUUGAGUGUGUGUGAGGCGGGCGGAAUGCGUGGUGUAGCGGUGAAAUGCUUAGAUAUCACGCAGAACCCCGAUUGCGAAGGCAGCCUGCCAAGCCAUGACUGACGCUGAUGCACGAAAGCGUGGGGAUCAAACAGGAUUAGAUACCCUAGUAGUC
rnacentral:rRNA from 1 species